UACAGAGGGUGCAAGCGUUAAUCGGAAUUACUGGGCGUAAAGGGCGCGUAGGCGGUCAGAUGUGUGAGAUGUGAAAUCCCUGGGCUUAACCUAGGAACUGCAUCUUAAACUGUCUGACUGGAGUACUGUAGAGGGUAGUGGAAUUUCCGGUGUAGCGGUGAAAUGCGUAGAGAUCGGAAGGAACACCAGUGGCGAAGGCGGCUACCUGGACAGAUACUGACGCUGAGGCGCGAGAGCGUGGGGAGCAAACAGG
rnacentral:rRNA from 1 species